rnacentral:miRNA from 1 species
AGUACAGAUGGGGUUUCACUAUGUUGCUCAGGCUGGUCUCAAACUCCUGAGUUCAAGUGAUCCUCC